CCUAAGGGAAAGGCGCACAGCGGGCAGCUGAGGCGCCAGACCACGCUGCCCAAGAGAGGCCAAGUCGCUCUGGCUCGGAGCGUGACAGCAGGCGAGGCUGGUUACCCUCAGAAAGAGAUAACUACACGCCCCCAGGGCAAAAACUGACCCCCCUCCCCCAGGUGGACUUGCAGACAAGAGCAACACCUUUAAGGCAGGUCACACUGGUGGUUUCUCCCUACCCUGGGCAGAAAAAUUCUGCCUGACCUUUCCCAUCUUCCUGAUGAUGUUAACAAACGACAGCCACUUACUUGGGGCACAGGAGGCGGCUCUACACAGGCCAAGAGCUACAGGCUACAGACUGAGCACAGAAAACCCUGCAGCUCCAGC